rnacentral:rRNA from 1 species
UGGGGAAUUUUGCACAAUGGGGGCAACCCUGAUGCAGCGACGCCGCGUGAUUUAGAAGGCCUUCGGGUUGUAAAAAUCUUUUCUAUGGGAAGAAAAUGACAGUACCAUAGGAAUAAGUACCGGCUAAUUACGUGCCAGCAGCCGCGGUAAUACGUAAGGUCCGAGCGUUGUCCGGAAUCAUUGGGCGUAAAGGGUACGUAGGCGGGUAAGCAAGUUAGAAGUGAAAUCCUAUAGCUCAACUAUAGUAAGCUUUUAAAACUGCUCAUCUUGAGGUAUGGAAGGGAAAGGGGAAUUCCUAGUGUAGCGGUGAAGUGCGCAGACAUUAGGAGGAAUAGCAGUGGCAAAGGCGAGUUUCUGGCCAUAGCCUGACGCUGAGGUACGAAAGCGUGGGUAGCAAACAGG